UCUAUGAAGAUAUGGGUUGAAGUGGAAGAUCUUGAGUGGCCUGCUAUAAAGUUUUGACCUCAACCUUUAUGAACACCUUUAGGGUGAAUUAGAUUUUCAAAAAGCAAAUAUGGAUCUUGUGAUCAGGUGUCCACAGAUCGAUUGUCCAUGUAGUGUAUUUCACUGUUUAUCUGAAUUCAUAUCGAAUUAAUUUUAGCACUCCUGAUGCCUUCAUGGAGUGGAUUCUUCCUGUUUUAGCAAGAGUGAGGAACAGGUCACUUCUCUGAUUUAAUUGGCUGUUUUCAUAUCAAUUUUAAUUAUUUUGUGCAAAUUAGGAACAAAAGAUAAUAAUGGAACUUUGCUUAUUUCAUACAGUAACUUCUGCUUUAAGGUGCUGAGUUAUAAUUUUUGGUUAUGUACUAUAACGCUGAUAAACACACUGGCCACUUUAAUUGGAACACCUGGAACCCUGUUUGUUAAUGCAACAUGAUCCUGUCAUGUGACAUCAGUACAGAGCACACUGUGAUGGUGCAUGUGCAGGCUUUAAUGUUCUAAUUGCAAAAAUCAGGGGAAAAAUAUCCAUAGUCUCAUUAUAACAAUUUCAUGGAGCAUCUGGUCAUGUGGAAAUUUCACACAGAAUGCCAAAAUGGUGUAAAAAAAAAAUAAACAGUGAGCAACAGCUCAGACAAACAAUAGCUUGAAUAAACUCUUUAUAACCAUGGUGAACAGAUCUCACAUGAUCUACACUGUUGUGGUCAGUAGGCUUUAACAUCUGAAGACCACAUUAGAUUUCUGUUCUUGUUUCACAGGAGUGAAACCUGUACAGGCUGCGGUAUACAUCUAGUAAAUGUAUGCAUGCGCGCACACACAUACGCUUAAACACUAGACUUAAAAAGGUGUUUAUUUUUUCAUUUUCUAUUGGGGAAAAAUAAAUCCACACACACUACAUUACAAGCCACCAUCAACGUCAGUGUGUGUCUGGACUGGUGGGUGUGUGCACUUGUCAUGCGUGUCUGCAAAAUUAUGAAUGGACAGCGAGCAUGGGGUGUGUGUGUAUGUGUGUGAGAGAGAGCGAGAGAGAGAGACGCAGAGAAAGGGAGGAAUGAAGAGAGAAAAGGCGUAUCACUAGAGGCAUAGGAUUAUAAUCUAGCAGCACAACCUCACUGUCAAAGGUGGGCAAGAAGACGGCCUUGAGCGAGUGAUAAAGAUAAAACGUGUCUCUUCUGCAUUCAGCAUCCUUCUGCACCCUCCUGUGUCUUCCGGUUGCAAUAUUUUCCAUCAUGGAGCAGAAGACAACAUCGCCUCAGAGGCACAUGGUGAAGAGCAGGUCCAAGUCUACAGAAGAAAUCCAGCAAGCCAAGAAGGCCUUCCACAUACCUCAGAAGUCUCUUCCUGGUGGAUCAGAUUUAGACAAAGUGAAGGAGACUCAGGAGGAAUCUGAAACCCCCACAUCAGCCCCAGAAGAUUCAAAGUAAUGUAGCUUGGAACAAUGCAAUCACACACACACACACACACACACACACACACACACACACACACACACACACACAUAUUAAAUAUACACAUCAGAUGCACUUCCCAAUGUCUGUGCAACAACUCUGACUGCUUCACAUAUCAACUAAAUGUAUUUCAGUCAGUUCCAUGUGUCAUUUGAUGCUCAUAUACAGUCGACUCCAAAAUUAUUGGUGCCCUUCAUAACCGUGAGUCCAGUAUGCUCAUGCAUUCAGCAACAUAUUUAGCAUGGUUUAUAAAUGUGUAACUUCUUUCUGCUGUGUCUGUGAAAUUUAUUUCUGGCUCAACAACUAAUCAGUAUAAAGAACUAUAGUAAAUCAGUACUGUAUUCAGUAUAAAGGCAAAUGUGUGCAAUAUGGAAACAGGAAUUGGAUAAUGGCAACUGGGUUUCCCCUUUUUUUUUUUUUUUAAUUUACAGAGGUUUACAUGUUCUGUUAAAGGAUAAUGAAAAACCACUUUUUAGGUUUUCUACUAUUUAGAUUUUUUUAAUUGAAGAUUAAUGCCUUACCAAAUGGUCUAAGGCACUUGGAAAACCCUAUCAUCACUGUAUUGAUUUGCUUGUUUGUUUUCAGUUUUCAGUUUUUUAAAGUGGGAAAUGAAUGUAAUUUUUGCUCAUGACAGGAAACAAUAUUUGUGCUUCAUAGCUCAAGAGUUCUCAAUUUAAUAUCAAACUUUUCGAACACUUAUUUUCUGUGCGCAUGGGAUUCUGUGGAUGCAUGAGAGGUUUCCAAUUUCAUUCCACUUUCAAAAAACAUCCCAGCAGAUGUCUAAAAUGAAAAAAACAAAUAAAUUAAUAAAUUAUUCAUCAUUUAAAUAAAAAGGCAGAUAAUUCUGGAGUUGACUGACAUUAAAUGCUUUGCCAUCAUAACUCAUAUUUAGGCAUGGUCACUAUAGAUGUUGCGAUGUUGAGUGUAUUAUAUUUAUGGGUUUGAGGAGGUGGUGUUACUUUAUAAAGAUGCUCUCUGAUGUACUGUUCAAAAUAAACCUGUGAAACCCA